rnacentral:lncRNA from 1 species
GUCUGUGAGGAGGAGAUCCACGCCAUGAUCCACGCCUCCUCCUCCUCCUCCUCCGAGAAGAAACGGUCCAGUUUGUUUUAACCCGGGAUAGUGGGCGUUGUCCCGGCCAAACAACAGCCUGUUUCCGCGGCAGAGUCCCGCGUGGGAGGAGGACCACGGAAACCCGUAAACUCUUUUUACCCACUAAACACAAUAAUACUGAAAUAACGGCCGAGAGAGCGUCUGUCUACAGAAGUUAACCGUGUUUUCUCAAGAAAAAAAACUCAGAUUUUCUGAAUUAAAUCAGAAUUAUAAAUAGUUUAAUAAUCUCCAGGGGGAAUGGCUUUUGUCACAGUAUUCCAGUGCAAAUACAGUAAAAAGAGGAGAUAAAUAAUAGGGAAAAUAAGUAUAAAUAAAGAGAUAAAAUAAGUUUAAAAAAAGAGAUAAAUAGAUAAAAGAAGUCAAAAUAAAUAGAUAAAAUAAGUAAAAAUAAAGAGAUAAUAUACAAGUAUUUACACUGUAUACAACAAAAAAAGUAACCUUUUACGCAAUAAUGGUGUUAUUGUAUGCAUGAGAUAUUUAUUUCAGAAUCAUAAUCAAAUCAUACAUUUAAAAACAAAGAUAAUUAUCUUUAAAAUAUCACAGAAUUUUUCAUGACUGGAUAUUGUUUCCACCAUUUAAUAAUGAUAAUAAUAAUACAUUUUAUUUGUAGUGCUCUUUACAUCAAGAGAUCUCAAAGGGCUACAUCUUAGAAGCAAAGAAAUAUCACAGUAAAGAAAAACAUAAAAACAGGUUAUUGGUUAAAAACAAGAGAAACAUCUUAUUAAAAGAGUAAAAGCAAGAUAUGCAAGUUUAAAAAAAAAAAAAUCUAUGAGGAGGGACCAAAAGUGGGUUGUUAGUGGGUUGUGGUUCCCUCCUCAGGGUGUUGGUGAGGGCGUUCCAAAGGCGUGGGGCAGCGGCCCAUAUCAACCAGAUAAACAUCCAGAAAUUAAGAGAAAAUCAACAUGUUAAAGUUUGAUACAAAACAGGACAUUCAGAAGGAAAGAUGUGAAGAGGCUCACCACUCUGUGAGAGACUGCGUGAGCUAACACUUCAACAGUUUCAGAAUUUAGUUCCUGAGUGGAUUUAUCUUUUAAUUUUUCUCUUUUCGUAUCUAUAAUACGCUGCUGUAAUUUUGGGAUUUCCCCCUGUGGGACUAAUAAAGGAACAUCUUCUUUUGUUCAUCGUUUCCAAGCCAAGAGUAAAAAAAAAAAAACAAUACAAUUAAUAAAAAUAUAAUACAAUGAAGAUAAAGAGCAAAAUGUAAACAAAAGAAAAAUUAAGGAGGCUGAAAUUAGCCCUGUUACACUAAAAGUUUUGUGUGAAAGCAGCACUUUGGUUUUUGUAAAUCAAUCAAUGCAUCCUCCAGAGAAAGGAGGAAAAACCUGAUCUUAUGUUAUCUGCUGAAAAUGUGACAUUCUUCCUGGAAAUCAUGGAUCCUGAAUCUUCUGCUCUAAGGAAGGACCAUUCGGCUUGUUAUCAGUGCAAAAUGACAGAGUGGGUGUUCAGUAAAGACUAAUAGAUCAUCAAAUAGGUUAAAACCCAAACUCUAAAGCAGUGUCGUGUGAGCGUAUUGAACGCCCACCAUGUGUCAGUUUUUCCUUCUCUUCAUUGUAAACAUCCCUCAGUUUGUCCCUGUGACUGGACAUCAUUUAAGACAGCUGAAAACAAUUACAGACCGACAGAAAGCACAUAAACUUCUGCGACCAAAGAGCGACAAAAACAGCUUCAUUUGGCAGAGCUGCAGAUCUGUGAGGCCUCUGCUGUCAUUAAAGUUUGUUUUUUAAUCUCUGACGGAGGAAAAAGUCUCAUUUAAAACCUUGAACGGUAAGGGUUCGCAGAUACGACAGUGCUGAGGCUGAGGAGUCAACAGGAAAAGGCCUCCUCCCCCUCCUCCCUCCUUCAGGAUCAGGGUUGUUUUGCCCCGGAGGUGUCGUUUGAUCUGUGGUCCUCGGCUCUCAGUAAAAGGAGUUUUUGUUUCCUGUGAACUCAGAGCCACAUCAGUCAGAGCUCAUUAAAGCUCAUUAAAGCUCCUCUGAGAGCAGCUGCAGCAGAGCGGGGAUCAAACCCGUGAAUGAUCAGGUACACUACAGCACGGACGCUGCACUGGCUCAAUGUUAUUAUCAUAUUUACUGAAGGACUGGAGGACUUUGUGCAGAAACUUCAUCUUUAAAAAAAGCAUCAAAGAGCUCCUGAUGGUUCAAACACAGAGUUGGUUUUAUGAACACAGCUCUCGUACGGUGAGACACACGGACAGAUAUGAUAAAGUCUAUUCUGUCAGAUUAGGAGGACAGGCGAGUUUAAAGGGAUAUUCCGACAUGAAAUUAAUUCAGGGUCAAACCCACCGUAACACCGAGUUAGGACCCCCCCUCCAGAGAUGAAUGUUGUCGACCGCUUGCUUCUCCAGUUAUACCAACUUUAGUAACGACCGCAGGAUAGCAAUACAGAGAGCCACGCCCCCAACCAAAACGCCACUCUAUAGCCACAAAUAAUGCUCAGAACAGCACCUAACUUCAUCAACAGGACAUAUAGGGUCACAGACAUAGUACUAGACACCAAACAUCUUUUUAACUUUGACUCAUUUCUUUAGCAAAGAGACUAAACACAACUCACCUACUCUCUUCCAGCAGACGCUUGUUUGUAGAGAGACCUCAGGCCAGUCCAUUACAGACUACAGCGGGGUGCCGCAGCUCAAGGAAGAACAUUUAUGAUCAUUUCUUCAUGGAAAUACAAUCAGACCGAGACGCUAAGACAGAAGAACUACCGCGUCUGUAAAAUGAUUAAUAUGAUGAUUAUUACUUCAAGGAAAUGAUAAAGAAAUGAUCAUAAAUGUUCUUCCUGGAGCUGCAUCACCCCGCUGUAGUCCGUAAUAUCCCUGGAAUAUCCCUUUAACAUAUUAAACAACACUUAAAAUCAGGGUUCGAGUGUUUAUUUUCUUAAAAUUUGUAAAGCUCUUUGUUCUGAACUGUUUUCUAUUAACAGUGCUGUCCAAAUUUAGUCUAACUGAUCGUUAUUUUUUUAUUCAUAUAACCCAGAAGGUUCUGGGGGAAACGCUCCCUUGCUGACUCCUUGUAUCUGUGAAACGAUGGUGGCCUUAGCAUGAAAAUUUUCUUUAUAUACGACUUUAAAAUUAGCUCUGAUAAUAAAAUCUAAUUUUAAAACAUGUUAACUUCAACUCCCUAAACUGUCACACUCCA